rnacentral:lncRNA from 1 species
UGAACCAGCAUGAUCUUAACCAGUCACAGGAACAAGAACAUUAUCCACUGUGACAUUGGCUGGUUCCUGAGAGAAGAAAUAUAUAAUAAGUAAUUCCAUUUUAUAAGCCUGGAAAGAGCAGAGCUCAACAGAAAUCGAUAGCUCCCCAUGAGACUCUACACUGCAUCAGAGCAGAGUGGAGUUUAGAAAAAAGCUGGAGGAAAUCUAAGUUAUCUCACUUUGUUCAAUAGUAUUCACUUCCUUACAGACAUGGCUUCCAUGCCCACUGAGAACAGCAGAGUACCAAUGCCAUCACUGCCAGUUUUAAGUGGAUUGUUACGCUUUCUAAACAGUGGCCACUGGUGAUCUGUUGUGAUAAAAGCUAGCAAUUCCAUAAAAUAUCACACAGGAAAGGGUAAUAACAAGCUAAGGUGAGAAGAGUAUGUAAUUCCCCCCCCCCUCCACACACUCCCGCAUCUUAAUUCUAUGCCUCAGCUCUGCUGGAUCCUGGCAGCAAAAACCCCUCACUCCUUGAGCAUUUACAGACUGCAACUAAACACAGACAAAGCGAGAGGUAAAGCGUUUCUAGUUUUCAGACGCUGCCUGUAUGUCCAGCUCUUUCCCGCCAGAGAAUUUCAAUCUUUAUGCAAGUGUGCGCACCAGAGGUCCAGGGUCGUUUUCUCUGCACGCAUGCUUCACCUCAGGUGGGAAGCUGGGGAAUGGAAGCUCGUGAUGCGUCUGCACUGAAGGAGUCCAGCUUACUCCUGAAAGAGAAGCAAAGGGAGCUGGGUAUAAAAGUGUUUACGUCCCAAAGGUUCGCUUGCCUUGAGGCCAUGGAAAUAAAUAUAACACUAGUAAUGCUCAUGUCUAGAGUUCAUCUUCAUUCAACUGGAAUCGAUACAUUCACACCUGUGAAAUGUUUCCUGAUGCUGAAGUACCCAGUCAAACCUGUCUUCGCUUAAUAAUACGACGAGCUACAUUGAAGCAUUCUUAGUUGUCAUGAAGACUAAUAAAGCCUGAAACACAAAGCAGAAAGCCAAACAUCAUGCUUUCACCAGGCUCUGCAGGCAUUUCAGUGUCGAGGUUGUGAGACCGGACUCCCUGG